AAUUAUCAUAUUAUAGUGCCCUACUAACCUAUUAAUGGCAAUGUCAUCAAUAUGUGUGUAGCUACUUUUUCCCGUCUGCGACAACAACCAUUGGCACGUGCACGUGGUCAAUAUUCCAGCUUCAAGGGUUGAAAUCUUAUCUUCGUUGCCUUUAAGAAGGGGUAACGGGAUAAGUGUCGUAUCGAGACACUAGUCUGAUGCAAUUGAUAAAGCAUUCCAUGCUCAUGGCAUGCUUAGGCGAUUGGAGGUCUCAAAAUUCCAAUAUGUGCAACCCCAAAUUGUGCAACAACUAAAUGGAUAUGAUUGUGGCAUGUUCGCAAUCAAGUACAUGGAACAUUGGAACGGGGCGACACUAGCACAUUCAAUCACGGAGAGAUAAGGUCUUGAAGGCAUGUCGAAUUUGAUUAAUAGAGACCACAUUGGACAGGCAAGGUCAAUGAUGGAACCGUACUUGCAUGAGAGUGGGGCUGGUGGUGCUGGUAGUGCAUAAUCAGAAGGCUUUAUCAGUGGAAAUUUAAUGGUGUAGAAUCUAGAGGUGGUUCGUAACCUGGGAAAGCACUGAGAAAAGAAGAACAAGAAAAUACCAAGGUUCUCCUCAUUAAUGCGAUCUCACUUGCACAUGCCAGUUGCGACAAUUGGAAAACAAGAUGGUUGACAACCAUAAAGACAUGAGCAAUGUUACAAUUCGAAAUCGUGGCUGCUGGAGAAAGGGAUGUGAUCAUAAGACAUUCUCAUCAUGACUCAGACUUUAUAAUAUAACUGUUCCUAUUUUGAUUUUUGUUUGUAAAUUUAGGCAUGCCCAAUACCGGAGCCCUCUAAAAACUAUAUAGAUACAUCAUAAUUAGUUUUUUGGUUUACCAUUUUUACUUUGGGCACCCAUUGCAUACUUCCAAUAUAUUUGGGUUGUCACCCCCCCUUCUGUUAGGUGCUUUUAGAUUAAUUUACCACUGACUAUAAAAAAUACAUUGGUAUAUGAAAGUUUGGUUGAGCUAAAGAGGUUAUCCAUGACCUCUUUGCAGGUGCGUAGUUCUAAGAGAGCCAUGCAAUAUGAGAAACUAUUAGCUAGGUUGAAGAAAUUGCUUUCUAUUCUGCCUACUAUUUGGCCAAGCUAAUUCUACUAUAUGAGAGUAUCUCUUGGAUUCUUUGAAGACGUCUACAGACUGGUCCAUCUUAUGCCAAAUCCAUCCCACUGAGUCAAGUCAUAUGGAUACCGGAUAAUCAAGAACAAAAAUUUCCUAUAGAUGGGAUAGACAAGAUAAGGUUCCAAGUUCAGAGUGUAAGUUAUUCUCCAGUUCCAGUUGAGCCACCAAAAGAGUCAGCCAUUUGCCCCUAUGGUGAUUUCGGUAAGUUCAUCCUUUGAACUUCAUCCUUUCAAGGUUUUUCAUCUCUAGAAGUAGGGCACCUCAAGCUAUUUUUCAUUUGGAAGCUGUGGUAUAAUUUUAAGGGCCAACUGCAGAGAGAUAUUGCUACUCCCUAAGAUUUUGUUUUCACUGGUAAGAGUUUCUAAGCACUGACUGAUGGAGUGUGCUCAAAACUAGUUAUGUUAUAUUGUUUUAUGGCUCUUCUUUUAGUUGGGUACCACUCUAGCAGUCGUUUGAAUACAGUGAAACAAUAUUGCUAUUAUAAGGACUAGAAAAAUGAAGUAAACAGACUUUUAGCAAAUUAUUCAGAAUAAGCUCCUAAACAUUUAUAUUUUCUAGACAAAUAACCUCUUAUUUCUUGAAUUUUUCUAGUAAUUUACUUGACUUCUCGGUUAGUAAUUAAUAUUCUCUAUUUCACUAAGAGAUUAUUUGUUUAUCAAUUUAUUAGAAUUCUCAUAUAUACAGAUCCAUGUGUGUGUAUUAGAUAUGCCUACUAUACUAAGUCUUUAGUUUAUGGGUUGAUACCACUUGUGGUAAGCCAAAAGCUUAUUCAUUGGUGAAGAUGAAAUUGUUUUUCGCAUUGGUGAUAUUGAAAUCUUUCUUUCUAGACAUCAUUUUAUAUGAUAUGACACUCUUAAUCUAGGACGCUGUUGAUUAUUCUAGGCUUUCUCAAUUCACUAAGUUGUAGUUUUUCAUUUUCUCUUCUCUUGUUGAGAAACCUGUUGUCUUUUUGUUUCUUUGGUUUUUGUAUGCUGUGCAUGUUUAUUGAUUUUAUCAUAUUCCUUUUUUCUUUGUGCAAUAAAUUGGUUAUUCCAUAAAGUAAAAACAAUAAAAACCAAAGGCCCAUUUUUAUAAGACGCUUUGUCAUAUUCUUGUUAUGUUCAGACAUUCCAUUAAUUUAUACAUACCAAAAGGCCAUUUUUUCUGUUACUAAUAUAUACAUACGUCAUAGCUAACAAGAACAUAUUUUUUCUAAUGUGUUUGUAAAUGAUAUUUUUGAACAAUGAACCCAUGAAUGGAAAAGGGGGAAAAACAACUUUAUUGUAAAGGAAAUGUUUUGGUUGCUUUUAUAGAACCUAGUGAGCUACUCUGAAUUUCAGUGAAAGUAGCAAAUACCACUUAUAUGAAGGAAGAAACAAAUAUAGCUUGAGCAAUAACAGUCCCAGAGGUGAUUAAGAAAAAAGGAGGUUAAGCCUACAAGAGAAUUUUGAUAGAUCCACCCAAUUUGACCUUAGUCACCCAUUAGAUUACCAAAAAUAGAGAUCCAAAUUCAUUUAAUAUCUUCUUGACAGCUAACUUAACCCUACUUAAUCUUUUAAAGACAAUGAGUGGUAACGCACGUAAAAAUAAUGCGAGUCUACCACUUCUUAUAAGUCAAAUAUCCUACCAAAGCAACUAUUUACUUCUACACAAAACCUAAAUAUACCAACAAUAUCAAAACCAUCAUAUUUUUUGAAACAUGAGAGUCUUUACUAAUCAUCAUUUAACCUUUCCCUACUAACAAUUUGUUUCUCAACUCCUUUUGGGUUAUUUGUUUACCUUUUUCAACUCAUAAUUUAUAGCUAACAAUGGAAAGUAAUUAGCUCUUUACAAUUUAAGUGUUGUAGAUUUAGAAAUAGUUUUUAAAGUGUCAUAUUUUAAAUGUUAUUAUAGUUUUUUUCAAAAUACUUAAGGUUAUUUUCAUGGAUAAUGGUAUUUUUGAAACUUUUUAAACCAAAUAAUCCUUCUUCAAAUGCUGCCACGUGGCAAGUAAGUUUUAUUUAAUUAUUAAAAAUGUUAAAAAUAUCAUAAUUUCCUUUAUUUUAAUAAAACCAUUUUGGUUAUUCCUCUUCCGGUCUCUUCCUGCAGACAGAAACGCCCUACCAUUAGAGACGGUAAGCCCAUGGCCCCCAAGCUACCUGUAAGCUAUUAAACCUUAAACCCUAGCCGAAAAGCUCAUUCAAAUUAUAAAACCCUAAUCCAAAAUCUAACGUACAAGAGCCAAAGCCCCCAAACUAUUGAAGACCUUGUGGGAAUUUUGCUCCUGCGAGCUCUGAAAACGUCCUCCCGUCCAGCAGCAGUGCCAAUCCUUCGCCAUUUUUGUCACUGGACCAUCGCCUUCCUCUGUUGUCCCUGCCCUCCGUGACCCUGCUUCUCCACCUUCAUCGAGGUCUCUUCAACUGUAGUCAUCGUGGUCACUACGCCACCAUGAACCACCCACUUCUCCACCACUGAAAUGGACCAUCCGAAGGAUGAAUUCUUCACUGCCCAAGCUCCUCAAACACGUCUUUUCCAUCCACAAUUUCCGUUGCUCGUACUCUUCUUUCUCUGUGACUGUGGUUCACCAAAUCGCAAAGGCGUUUCACCACAACAACUUCAGUUUCUUCAACUCUGGUUCACUUCCAAAUCUACAGCCCGCCCACCUUGAACCAGUCGUCUUCCAACUCCGCUCCAACCCCACCUCCGCCCUCCGGUUCUUUGAAUGGGCUGAGAAUUUUCUGGGUCUGUGCCACCCGGUUCAGUCCUUCUGUGGCAUUGCCCAUGUGCUGCUCCGGCACCGAAUGUUUGAUCCGGCAACGCGGGUUUUUGACCGAAUGGUCGGGCAAUUCGGGAAUUUGGAGGUUUUGGGUGAGUUUCAUGGCAGUUUUCGGAAUUAUGGUUCGAACCCGAGUACAGUUUAUAGCUUUUUGUUGCAUUGUUAUUGUAGGAAUGGCAUGGUUGAUAGGGCUGUUGAUACUUUUGCUUGGAUGUCUAAGAUGGGAGUUUCAAUUUCGCAUUAUGCGGCAUCAGAAAUGUUGGAUUUAUUGAUUGAUUCAGAUCGCAUAGAUGUUAUUCUUGAAAAUUAUGAAGAGAUGUGUAAAGGCUUAGGUGUCUAUGAGUUUGUUUUCAACAGUUUUCUCAAGAGGGGUGAGGUUGAAAAGGGGUUGAAUUUUCAUCGGGCAUUGGUCGAAAGAGGCUUAGUUCCCAAGAUAGUUGAUUGUAAUAAGAUCUUGAAAGGCCUUUGCAUGGGAAAUCAGAUAGGCGUUGCUUCGGAUUUCUUUGAUAUGAUGGUAAGGAGUGGUCCAAGCCCAAAUUUGGUGACAUUUAGCACGUUGAUUAAUGUGUAUUGUAAGGAGUUGAGAUUGGAUGAGGCAUUUAGUCUUUAUAAUCUUAUGAUUGAGAAGGGCAUAGUUCCAGAUUUGGUUAUUUAUAGCAUUUUAAUUAAUGGUCUUUUCAGGGCAGGAAAGUUGGAGGAGGGAAAUUCUCUUUUCUCCAUGGCUUUAGCUAGAGGUGUUAAGAUGGAUGUGGUGAUUUUCAGUUCAAUUAUGGAUGCAUAUGUGAGGGUUGGAGAUUUGGGAAAGGCAAUUGAGGUAUAUACAAGAAUGUUGAAGGAAGGGAUCUCUCCAAAUGUGGUUACUUACAGCAUUCUUAUAAAUGGGUUAUGUCGAAAUGGUCGUGUCCUAGAGGCUUGUGGGGUCUUUGGUCAGAUUUUGAAACAGGGUUUAGAACCGUCAGUGUUGACUUAUAGUAGUCUCAUUGAUGGCUUUUGCAAAUCUGAAAAUUUGAGAGAUGGGUUUGGUCUGUAUGGGAUUAUGCUAAGGAAGGGCCACGUUCCUGAUGUUGUUGUCUGUAGUAUGCUUAUAAAUGGUCUUAGCCGACAAGGGAUGAUGGAUGAGGCUCUCAGGUUUUUCUUCCAAGCUGUGAAAAGGGGUUUAACACUCAAUAACUAUUUGUUUAAUGCCUUAAUUGAUGGUUGUUUUAGAUUGAAACGAACAAGGGAUGGUCUGAAGAUGUACAUCCUCAUGGGCAUGUAUAAAGUAAUCCCAGAUGUAGUUACUUACACUGUGCUUGUUAAAGGGCUUGCUGAGCAAGGGAGAUUGGAUGAGGCAUUGGCAUUGUUCUUCCAAUUGCUGAAGAAGGGGUUUUCACCAGAUCAUAUAAUCUAUUGCACUCUCAUUGAUGGAUUCUGCAAGAAAAGGGAUCCAGCAACUGGAUUACAGAUUUUCAAGCUGAUGCAAAGCAAUGGAAUAUUUCCAGAUAUUUGCAUUUAUAAUGUUCUCAUUAAUAUGUUUUUCAGGGAAGGCUGUGUGGAGAAUGUGCUGGAAUUAUUGAGGGAAAUCAUUAAGUAUGGGUUAGAACCCGAUAUUGUGACAUACAACACAAUGAUAUGUGGUUACUGCUCUUUGAAAAUAUUUUCCAAGGCCAUUAAACUUUUUGAAGUUCUGAAAUGUGGACGGACCCAGCCAAAUGCUAUUACUUUUACCAUUUUGAUUGAUGCUUACUGUAAGGAUGGUAGAAUGGACGAUGCAAUGUUGAUAUUCUCCUCUAUGCUGGAAAGGGGUCCUGAACCUAACAUAUUAACAUAUAGUUGUUUAAUUGAUGGCUAUUUUAAAACUGAAAAUACAGAGAGUGCCUUUGAGCUUUAUGAAAAGAUGCUUGGUGACAGAGUCUCUCCAAACAUUGUGAGUUAUAGCAUCCUCAUUGAUGGUCUUUGCAAAAAGGGGCUAAUGGAGGAAGCAUCACUUGCCUUUCAAUGUGCUAUAGGCAGGCAUUUGUUGCCUGAUGUAAUAGCCUAUGGGAUUCUGAUACGUGGUUACUGCAAGGUUGGAAGAUUAGCUGAAGCCAUGAUGUUGUAUGAUCAUAUGUUGGUAAAUGGCAUCAUGCCAGAUGAUCUUUUGCAAAAAGCACUUGCAGAGUAUGGUUUUCAAGAUAGUCAGGCAAAAAAUUGUGUACUCAACUGAAAGAUGGGAAGUCAGGAUCUUUCCUAUUACAGUCUGCUGAUGGUUGUCUGAAUGGAAAUUGCAAAUGUGGUGAAUAAGUUCCUGCUCAUACUUCCUAAAAAUUUACUGCUACAAUGGACAUUAGUCAUGCUAAAGGGAAUGCUAGGUGCAAGGAAUAUGGGAACCAGAUUGAGAAAGAAGCUGCUGAAGAUAACUCUAUUGGGUACUAUGGUGCUUCAGAAGUUGUACUGUUUAAUAUUUUGGGUGAAGGACAAGGGAAUAAUAUUCAUGAUUCAUCAGGAACCUUUCAAGAAGUAUCUCCUGUUCAAGUCAAGGAUCAUGGGUAUUUGCAAAUAAAUGUGGGAUCUGUGGAUCUUAACUUAGAGGGUUUUGCUACUCCAAUGAAUCCAAUCCAAUUGAGCACAGUUUCUCAAUAACCUUCACAAUUGAUCACAGUUUCCCAAUAACCUUCACAAAGCAAAUAUUCUGCUGCUGUAUCAUUAAUCUCAGCCAGUCAGUGUGUUAUGGUCCCAGCAAUUCAGGUCAACUCUAGGCAUUUGCAAGAGCUCCAGGAUGCAAGUUGGAAAUGGGAGGAAUUCAGAAAAUGCUUCCAGAGAAAAAGAUGGUUUGAACUGUGUAAUUAUGGUGCUUGACAAGUUGUGAAAUCAAUACCCUAAAAAGCACUCCUAUUCAAUAAGUUGAUUCACGGCCUAGAUGGUUUCUUUGGAAAGGACAAGAAAGUAGUCGGUGAGCAUUUACAGAGGUAGAAGUUGAUAUCUGGAAUAGAGUGCAUAUGGACCUAGGCAGCCAACUGAAACAUCUAGUUAGCCUCCUGAUGCCCUUUGGUUUGUUUGUGGGAUUACUCCUUGGGUUGAUGUAUCAUAGCGCAGACCCCUCAAUUUGGGUCCUUAGGCAGACAUAUUUUGGCCACCCUAGGAAGCUUCUAGACACCUUUUUGUGCUGGCAGAAAGAGACACCUUGGAGUAUGGGAUUUCACCUGCUGCUGGUUUGUUACAGAGAGAGUGUGGCACAGAGAGAGGGACACGUAGAGAGAGAGGAGGAUUUCUCUGGUUUUGUUUGAGAGAGAGAGGGAGGCUUAAGUAGCAAGAAAAA